CCAAACUGUUGCCUCGGCGGGAUCUCUGCCCCGGGUGCGUCGCAGCCCCGGACCAAGGCGCCCGCCGGAGGACCAACCAAAACUCUUUUUGUAUACCCCCUCGCGGGUUUUUUUAUAAUCUGAGCCUUCUCGGCGCCUCUCGUAGGCGUUUCGAAAAUGAAUCAAAACUUUCAACAACGGAUCUCUUGGUUCUGGCAUCGAUGAAGAACGCAGCGAAAUGCGAUAAGUAAUGUGAAUUGCAGAAUUCAGUGAAUCAUCGAAUCUUUGAACGCACAUUGCGCCCGCCAGUAUUCUGGCGGGCAUGCCUGUCCGAGCGUCAUUUCAACCCUCGAACCCCUCCGGGGGGUCGGCGUUGGGGAUCGGCCCUGCCUCUUGGCGGUGGCCGUCUCCGAAAUACAGUGGCGGUCUCGCCGCAGCCUCUCCUGCGCAGUAGUUUGCACACUCGCAUCGGGAGCGCGGCGCGUCCACAGCCGUUAAACACCCAACUUCUGAAAUGUUGACCUCGGAUCAGGUAGGAAUACCCGCUGAACUUAAGCAUAUCAAUAAGGCGGAGGAA
rnacentral:rRNA from 1 species